UUGAUCAGGUGAUGGAUAUUUAACCAGACAAUUACUCCUAAUGAAUAUGCAUGUAAAUAUCCUCUGUUGCAAACAUCUAUUUCAAAUUAUCAUUUGAUCUGUUGUAUGUGAACUUGCGAUGAACUUUUUAACAUGUGACCAUGUAUUUUGAAAGAUGUACAAGUACAAGGACAAAGAGAUUAGAGAAUUUUUUCCCUUAUUAGAAUUUUUUUGUCUUUCCCUGAUUAGAGAAGAAUUUUUUCCUUUCUCCACUUAGGAUCUUUCUGCUUUUCCCCUUAGAUAGCUUUCAUAGAAAAUGCUUUACAACUUAGUAAUAAAGGCUAUAAUCACUUUUCUAAGUGUCCCCUUUUCUUCCUGAGACUUCCGACUGUCUAGCAGGCAGAAAGUUAGAGAUGAGCAAUCCCUGCUGAGAUAGUACAAAGGCUUAUCUUCAGUAGCAAGCUGCCUCAAGAAGAAGCAACAAGAAGGAAGACACCUGCUUAAGCUGACCCCUGGCAGAUGGUUGUGAGCCACUAUGUGGUUGCCAGGAAUUGAACUCAAGACCUCUGGAAGAACAGCCAGUGCUCUGAACCACUAAGCCAUCUCUCCAGCCUUAAGUUGUCUUAGGUGACCCUGUGAAAGAGACCAUUGACCCUCAAAAGGGUUGUGCCCCACAGGUUGAGAAACAUCACUCUAAAGAUUCAGCAAGUGCUAUUCUAUUUCUUUUUAAAUGUAAGAGACUCUUAUUCUCUGUGCCCAUGCUUGUACCUUCUGCCUAUGAUCCUGAGGUCUGCUCAGAACUCACCUAUGGAGUUAGUUUGGUCCAUGCACAAGCCUUCCAAACAUAUCUGAUACUCCGGAAUGAAAUUACAUCCUCACCUGAACCUAGCAUAUCUCCUGGACUCUUUUGGGCAGGCUGCAUGUACCUCAAUUGUAUUCCAGGUAUCCAUUUGCUUGUGUUUCGUCUGUGAUACUCAGAGACUGAAAUGCAUUCAACAAAAUCUUUAUUAUCAGUGGUCACUAAGUUUAAAGUGUCAGGAAUCAGGAGUUAAUAUAAAGCAAAAACUGAGAACAAAUGGGUUCAUAUCCCAGAUGAAUUAGUUUGACUCUUUGUUUCCUUUAAAAAAGAAGAAAGAAGAAAGGAAGAAAGAAAGAAAGAAAGAAAGAAAAAGGAAAGAAAGAGAGACAGAAAGAAAGAAAAAGGAAAUAUCUGUUUUAUUCUUGAUCCCCCCCCUCUCUGCCCCACCCCAGUGUGCAUGUGCAUAUGUGCUUGUGUAAUGCCUGAAAAGACCAAAGCUUUUGAAUCCCCUGGAGCUGGAGUCACAGGAAUUAGGAGCUUUGCUACCUGGGUACUAUAGAUCAAACAUGGGUAAUCCACAAGAGCAGUACACAAUUCUUAGCACUGAGCUUCCUCCUAGGACAUCACCAUGCUUUCUUUACCAGUGUGAAUGAUUCUGUGCAAUGGGGAAGAUACCAAGGCCACAGUACACAAGCUCUCAGUUAUCUAUGGUGAAAACAAUGUGGUCCAUUGUGAUGUUCUUACCCAGCUGCCUCUGUCUCAUAGUUUCUAUGAUAAAAGAGUGUAGAGUAAUAGAAGAUCCAAAGACAACGGCGAAAACUUAAUGCUGACAGUAGAUUCCAGCUAAAAGAAUAUUCUUUACAAAUAGACCAUUAUAUAGAUGUCAGCAUUUCCACAAGCAAAUUUGCUUCUUUACGGUGAUAUUUAAAUAUUUUCCAAAUAAAACAAUAUGUAAUGUAAUGUCUUUGGGGCUGCAUUUUAUAAUUGAUUGAGGUGCUCAAGUAGGAAAUUGAGUUACUGAAAGAAAUGACUUUGUGUUUACUAAAGUCUUUCAUAUGCCAGGCUCCUACAAACACGCAUGAGUUUAAUGAGAAAAUACUAUUUUUAUUUCCUUUAUUUUUCUUUUGGGAACAUAGACACAGACAUAAAUAAAGUAACUUGUUCAUAUCACUAGAUGGAGUUGCUGGAACAUGACUUCCCAUCUGAGUGAAACCAGGUUGACCUUUUGGGGCUUAGUAGCCCUGAGAAGGCAAUGGCAUGCAACACAGUCAUCCUCAGGUCUUUUCUGGUACACAGUGAAAGAACCUCACAUAGGUCACAUGGAGUCCCUUUCAGCAGGGAUUCUCACUCUGUUCUUAGUUCAUUUCCACUGUUAAUUCUCCCACCAAGCUCUAAUUUCUCUCCCAAGAGUCUCUGAGUUUGCCCCCUGCUUCCCUUUCCAAACAUGUUUCAAGCCUUUUCCUAUCCGCCUAGCUUAUUUUCUCUAUUUCUUCAUUUUUUUCACAUUGCAUCCCCUUUUCAAAGCACAGUUGAACCACCCCAAAUCACUUCUAACCUAAGUAACUAAGUCUCUUCAGGAACAUUGCACCUGACCUCACCCCAAACAGGCCUAUUUCCAUCACUUCAUUUUGGGGAUAAGGUAGGGUCAUGUCACUUCUCAUGAGCCUCCAGGACACUCAUUCGAGUGGAAUGGAAUUUGGGCUAAAACUCACAGCAAACUUGUGCGCAGACACAACGUCUUUGUUAACUGUCAUCUUUUUUUCUAUUUAUUUGACUGAAUGGUUUUCUGGACUGAUUGUAAGAUUUGCAGUGCUGUGAUAAAUAUUUAAUAAAUGCUAAAUAAGUGUUCAUUGAAUGAAUAGAGCCAUCCAGUAACUACACUUUUGACAUCUCUCCAUCAACCAAAUCAUUCAACAAUCCCUAGAUGGUUCUUUAAAUAAAUAUUUCACGAUCUCAAAAUCUCCCAGAAGUUUCCUGCUACCCAGGAAUAAAGCACAGACACAUUGGUGCUCCAUACACUGGAUCUCAUGCUGAAGUUCACAUGUCUGUGUUCUCUUUUGGGACAAGUUCUCACUACGUAGUCCUGGAUGGUCUGGAACUCAUUACUAAUCAAGUCAAACUUCAAACUCUUGAUCUCUAUGCCCCAUCAUCUACAGUUCUGGGACUACCCAACCCUGCCCUUCCUGCAUAUCUUGUAUUAACAAUCUAUUCAGAUGAGCUAAGAGAAUCUUCUUCUGAAGCCAUUUGAUAUUUCCUUCCUCCUUACCUGUUGUCCUUCUUGAUAUUUAAAUAGGGCUUUCUAGAUAGUGGGUUGGCGUAUGCAUUUUUUUGACUUUGUUGUUGUUGUUGUGUUUCUUUGUUUUAUAUAACAUCUCCUAUCUCUUUACUCCAAAUGGUGACUUCUCAUCUCUUUGCUUUGCCUUAUGCUGGUAGGAAAAUUGGCCAACACUGAGUUUGUAGCUUUUCAUUCAUAGCCCCUUCCACUAAGAGUGAAAUGAGUUGCAAUGAGUGAGUAAGUCUGACAAUAUUCAGAGAAACUCGGGAUUCAGCCCUCGAUGGGUUCCCUCUUUGGCAGAUGUGACUGAAAAUUGUCAGUACAGACAAUUUCAGAAAUUCUACAUUUAACAUAUGUCUCUCACAUGAUGAAAAUACUUCAUAAAACAUACAAUGAACAUAUUCCCACAGAGGUACAUUUAACCUAGCACUGAAGUUAUAACAGGGCAGUUUCGUCAAGAAUAAGACACCUCAGAUUACUUCUGAAAAGCAAAAGGCCAUCACACUGGCACAGUAACAGCAGAUCACAAGUCAAGUAAAUGAGUGUUAGAGCAUAAUUUCCCUUUUCAAAAACUGCGAUGCUUGUAGAUGGGUCCUUAUAUUGAGUUCCUUGAAACAAAGUCAUAAAAGUUGUGUUAGAAUAAAGUUAAAAUUUUACUUUAGAGUAUUUUCAUCCCAUUACAGACAAACUCAACAGCCUCUUAAAAUUUCCAAGCUUUCAGCAAACCUUGAAAACUUGAGAGAAAUACUUAUUUUAAAAAUUUGAAAUAUUGUAGAUAUACCAUUCAAGUGAGAUCUGUAUGAUUAGGGCAUUUUAUACCUUGUGUGAUCAUAAACUAAUAGCUCUAACCAGGAUAAUAAAAUUUACCUAUUGUGUGAUCCCCAGUCAUUGCAGGAAAUUUACCUCAAAAAUCCAUGAACAACUUCUGCCCUCUCCUGAAAUAGGUUAUGGCCCAGGUAGUACAUUAUUAUAUUAUUGUAUUUUCACUUGUUUUGAUCCUUAUAUCUAUCAAGUAAAUGCUUUAUCUGGGUUUGCUGAACUAGUAAGCACAAUGGUACUCCUCAAAUGUAAUUUUCUUUACCUCAGUGUUCUUUAGUCCUCCCUAAUUUGAUUAACCAUGAGGGAAGAAUAAUCUAGGUGAGGAGCUGUAGUCAUGAGUUACUUGGAUUCAAAAAUAAAUAAGAAAAAUAAUUUUUUGCCUGUGGAACUUUAGUUGUAGUCAAAGUUACAGGGAAAAACUUAUUUAACAAAUUAAAGAAAUGAGAAGAUACAUCAAGAGAGUUCCAAAGUAGAUCCCUGUUCAUUAGAAGAUGUGGGGACACUGUCCAAAGGGAAUAAGUGGGACCAAAGAUGAUAAGAUGAUCUCCUGGGAGGAGCUGGGACAACUGCAUUAUAAAGGAGGCAGUGUUGUCACAAGUGCAGAGUUAGGAAAGACUUCAGUGUGAACCCAGUACUAAUGCAGUGUUCUCCUGAGGGGCGAGUGAAGGGGGAAGACUGUGAGGCAGGACAGCUUUCCUGGAACCAGGUUGCCUACCUGUACUUCUGGGUGUAGAACUUAAGAAUAGAAAACAGCUCCCUAAAGAAAUAUGUGCAGGAGGAGUCAUAAUAGCUAAGAGGGAAGAUGAACUCUGGUAUGUGAGAGUAGAUGAAGGGAUCCACAAUUGAAGUAGAUAUAUGUGGAUGAUGAACUGUCAUUCAGCCUUAGAACCAAGGGAUCACAUCUUCUUCAACAGAGAGGAAACGGGGAGAGCAUACUGAGACAAAUGGCAAGUAGCAAGAGACGACUGCUGUGUAAUUUUACUCAUGUGUUGUGGUGGGAGUGGUAAAAUGAACAGGCAAGGUUAACAAAAUGAUGGUUACCAGCAUCUAGACGAGGGAAACAUGGAGAGUGAGGUGCCAUAGAGUUUCAAGGUGGAUAUAAUUAACACUUCUAAAUAAUGCAUCCCAAAUGGUGAAGAUGAUAAAGAUCUCAUACUACGUGUUUUUUUACCACAAUAUAAAGAUAGCUCAUUCUAUCUGUUGAACAAGGCUGGCAGAAGUAGGGUGGAAUAGUUGGGAGACUCUUACAGACAAGUUACAAAGUCUUCAGGGCACUGAGAUCUGCCUCUGUCCAGCUUUAAGGAAGGAGAAUUUGAUGCCCAUAAACGAACCAUUUUUUCUGCUUAGUGACAGAAUGCUCACACACCUUAUUCCUCUAGAUUCCCCACGUCUUUUCUCAGAACAUAUCAGAAAUAAUUUAUAAAAAAAACCUGUUAGUAGCUGGUGACUAAAUCAGCUCUCUCUUGAGGCCAUUUGUCACCUGGGAAAGGAGAAAGGGGUCGGGGCAGGUGGAAUUUGGGAAGCUCUUGGCUCAGGACAAGGGCUCUGUGAGCAGUAGGUUCUGGAGCCACUGAAGCAGACAUUACAUGCAAAUGCUCACUACUUUUCCUUAAUGAAUCUGAACGUCUGGUGUAAUGCUGAGUUAGAAAUCUUCCUUCUUGACUCAUGGUUCUGUUUGGAUUCACAGGAAGAGCCUUAAAUAGUAAAAAUAUAUAAACACACACACACACACACACACACACACACACACACACACAACGAGAGCAGAUAGAUGAGCCCCACGUCCCAAAAUUAUACUGGGAGAACCCCUAGAGUUUCAGAAAACAAGUACUUCAUAUUGUGGUAAAAAUUGAUUGAGAUUCAUUAUGAAAUGAUUCACGUGUUUAUAAGUCUCCCAUAGCUAUAGAAGCAACGGAGAAUAACAUAAUAUGAAAAUGAGUAUGCUCAACAGAGGCCCAGGGUGUUCACACUUAGUCUUAACACUGUAUAAAUUACUUAAUACUGUAUAAAUUUCUACUGAUGUCACUGUCUUAUUAUAUUGGUCUACAUCUAUGGGAUAUCUGUCUCUUAUAUUUAAAAUGUUAUUAAUGUAUAUUCAUAUAUGUGUAUUGUACCCAUGUGCGUGCAUGUGCACACACACACACACACACGCACACACACACACACACACACACACACACACAUACAUACACACGUGGCUUAGACUGGUGCCUGCUGAAACUAUGAAAGGGAAUCACAUUUCCUGUAACUGGGUUGUAUGUGGCUGUGAUCUUCCUGACAUAUGUGCUAGGAACUGAAAUUGAAUCGUCUAUGAGAGCAGCAAAUAUUUAUUUUAAAGGUUUAUAUUUUUUAUUUUUAUGUGAGCACACGGUCACUGUCUUCAGACUCGCCAGAAGAGAGCAUCAGAUCCCAUUACAGAUGGUUGUGACCAUGUGGUUGUUGGGAAUUGAACUCAGAACCUCUGGAGUGCUCUUAACUGCUGAGACAUCCGUCCAGCCCAGCAAGAUGUUUAAUGGCUGAGCCAUCUCUCCAGCCUCAAUCGGAAGAUCUUAAAACUGAAAUUUCUGCGAUAAAGAAUAAACCUCUCAAGGGAUUCUAAACUGUCUUAUGGAUUUUCUGAACCCAUAGCCACGAAAGCCAACUAUUUGAAGUAGUUAUAUAUUGUCUGAUUUGGGGUUUCUCCUGCUGUGAUCAAAUAUAAAGAGCAUAAGAAUUGUAGAGAGGAGUGGCUUUACUUCAGCUUAUGUUUGCACAUAUUAGCCCAUCAUCAAAGGAAGUCAGGCAAUAGGACUGGGAUCUGGAGAUGAGCUGUGCAGAGGCCAGCCAGGAAGGGUUGAUGUUUACUUGCUCCUUAGGGCUUGCUAAACGUGUUUUCUAAUAGUACCCAAGAUCAACAGCCAAAGGGUGAUAUUUUUCACCCUUGGGUGGGCACUCAAUCACACAUUAGGUGUAAGCCUAGUUUAUUUCUUUCAAAGUCUAUACAAGAAUUUAUUAUACAGUUUACAAUAAUGAGCUCUCUCUCUCUGUCUGUCUGUCUCUCUUUGUCUCUCUGUCUCUCUCUCUCUCUCUCUGCUGAGAACAUAGGUACUAUUUCUAUGAAUUUUCCUCAGAAAUAGCAAAAUUUUAAGUCUGCUUCUGCAAUAUUCUUGCCUGUGUCUCUUGGUGCACAUAUGUAAGACUCUUUUUAGGCAUAUUUCUGACAGAAUUCUGUAGUGUAGUUGGACAUUGAUUGAGUCAUUGCAUUCUUUUGUAAUGUAUGAGAGCUAUGGUUACUUCAUAUUCUCAGUAAAAUUUGGUAUUAUCAGAGAAGUGAGAUGACUCUUAGGAUAAAAACUCCUUCUACAUAAACUUGGAAGCUUGUGUUAGUCUCAAGAUCCCAUGACGGAGCAAACUCUGGUGAAAUUUGUUCUCGCACUUCCACACAUGCACCAUGUUAUGUUCACGCCUCGCUGCACUUACAUAUCAUAGAUUAAUAUGCAUAUACUAAUCAAUAAAAAAUUUCAAAAACUGGCCCCAUCCAGGAGAAUAACUGUAACCCAGCUAAUAUAAAGAUUAAGACAAUUCAAUCAACAUAUGAAUUAUAUAUGUUUUUUGAGAGAGCAAAAUAUAAUCAAAGAUAAUUUGUGGUUUAUCUUAAUAAUCAUUGAUAUUUAUUCUAGGCGUGAUCUUUCUGUUAACUCUUUGUCUCAAAUAUUUGCGAUAAACAAAUAUUUCACUAAUGCUUUGGGUUUGGUUUGCUUCCUUUAGUUCUGUGUGCAGGAUCUGCAUUGAGCCACAAGGUGGCGAUGUAAGCACGUUCAAAUGAAAAUCUCUACACAGGUCUACGUGCACUAGAGUUAGCUGAAAAGGCUAUAAUCAAUAGUUUUUUUUUUAAAUGGCUGCGGCAUACAUGCCUCUUUCCUAUGAAUUUGAACCUCUUUUUAUGAUACCCUUUGUUGACCUUUGGGGCCAUCAGGGAUUCACUUGAUCCCUCAUUUCUUUCUCCUUAUUUCUAGCAUACUUCACAGAUUCCUUGUUCCCAUGUACAGGGCCUUCUUCAUACCGCCUUGACUCUGCAUUCUCAGGGUUUCCUUUUAUUUCUCCUUCACCGAAAGCACACAUCACCACCGCUGCCACCGAUGUUCCACUUUUCAGUCCCUAGGAUAUGUCAUUUGUGCUUAAUUUCUCCCAAAUUGAUACACCUUGAUAUUCAUGCUUCCAUGAGUCGCUGAAGGCCAUUGGCUUUGAACUUCUGCUUUGUUCCUGUUUGACUGAAAUGCAAACUUGAAUCUAUAGCUCUGUCACACAAACACUUUUCUAAGAUCCCUCUCCCAACACGUUUUCAAUCGCCAAAUAAACAGCCACGUUUAAGUAAAGUUUUUUGUCGCUUUUUUUUUUUUUACCUUUUUAUCUGUCUCUUUUCAUAUGGUUUCUGUUGGCAACAGGUAGUCAGAAGAGAGUUUUCUUUGGCUGGGUUCUAGUGCCUAUAGGAUAGAAUCAAUUAUGCAUGUAGUGUGAAGAAAAUAUAUUAAUUUUGAACGAUAUAUGUAGUAAUUAACCAAGUCCUUAUAUUAUAGAACUUGUACUUUUCUUAGUAUUGUCAUUAUAGACAAAUCAUUUAAAAGUAAUUAAGACUAAUACUUGGGGUUAACAAGCGCUAGAAGGAGAUGCUCCUGCCCUUGACUAGUGACAGGAAAGCCUGGGGAAGCUGGGGAUGGCAUAGCUUGAGAACUAGUGUCAUGGCAACGUAUGCAUACGAGAGUCACUAUAAUAUACCGAUAAGAUGAAGUAGUUCACUUAAUGACUAUGCUUAAAUAAAUAAUCAUACUCAGCCUUUGGCAAGAAAUGCCACAAUUCAGUUGAGUACUCAAAUAUGUCUCUCAGCAAGCACGUUAUUGAUUUCCCACCAAGGUUAUAAUUUAACAAACACGUCAUAUUGAUUUGUUUCUGUAAACUUCAUUCUGGAGCUAUGGGGAUCUCAGUGGAAUUGUAAUUCCUUGUAAUUAAAAGCGUUCAAAAUGCAAAUAUGUGUCCUGAGGCCUGGGGUAGCAUGUGCUUCACUGAGAGCCAAGCACAGGCUUCACCUCCUAAUUCUGCGAACAUAACUCUUUGCUGAUCGGAAUUUUUUUGUUUUGCCUGUCAAUGACACUUUCAGUUAACUUCUGUAAGCUUUUGAAUUCUAUUUUAAUUUUAAAUUAAUUAAACUGUACUUAUUGAGGACCUGUCCGGAACAAGGGUAUGGGCUGAGCCGUAUUGAACUGCUUGUGACAGAAUUCCUCUACUCAUUUUUAAGGAUCACAGUGAUGGAGAACUACACGCCAGUAAAGGCAGAUACAGGAAGAUAUUCACAUAGAUAAACUUGUAGGAAGAAAAACCUAACUCCAGAAAGAUUUAUCACCUUGGACUUAGCCAAAUUGUGUAAUUGUAGAAAACUCCCGGAAGAAAUUAGUCUCAACGCCCUUUGCAAAUUCUUUUUAAGAUUCAGAGAACGUCAGCUCCAGGGCUAUGUAUAAUCUGAGCUCUUUGGAAAUUUGUCUACAGUCGUCAUCUUCUUCUUUAAGUCUGUAGGACUUAAAGCUGUAGGAGAGCUACACAAUAUUGAUUUCAGCCAACGUUCUUCAGCGAAGCAACUUAAGUCAGCAUACAAAUUGCUUGUGACUAAUAUUGAACGCUCCCAGUGUGCUAGGCACUAUUAAUUCAGCUGAAACUCAUUAAUCCAAUGACUAACUAGGUCCGCAUUAGGAAGGUUCACAUUUUACAAAUGACCCAGCAAGAGUAAAACACCCAGCUGAAAGGCAACAGAACUGGCAGGCACUUUCAUCAUCUGCUGUUAAUUUGAAGAAGUAGAACUUAAUUUUAUUCAGAAGAAUGCUUCAUCGUGGGCUUGGGAAGUAAUGAAGUCUCAGGGGAAUCUGACUGGAAUCCUCUAAGAACUUUCUAGGAGAGGUGGCAGCUUUCUAGAAGGAAGGGAGGAAGCCCGUGAGAUUUGGUCUCUCAAAUUCCUAGACAAAACGAAAUGGAUGUAUCUACACUGCGUGCCCAAUGGCCCUGAUGGAAAGCGAUUAUCACCACGAUACCGUUAUAUGUAGCCAUGCACAGGUUGCUUGCCUUGAAGCUAAUUUAUGUACAGAAAAAAAUAGAAAAUUUAUUGAGGCAAGAAGGGCUGCUGAGCUUAAUUUUGAGGAGAGAGGGCACUAUUUCAGUAGGUCUGGGUUACUGGUUUUGCUCUCAAAGAAAAUGAAUAAUGCUCUGGAGCCCAACUAGACUUGAUGCUUUGCUGUGGUAAUGAUGCAUCAUCGCUCAUUAUGACCCAGUGAUGGUCACCCCUACCGCAGCAGUCAUUUGCUAGGUACAGAUGAUGAGUUUUAUACCUGGCUACGUUAACCAAAAGAAUUUUUCCCCUUCUUUCAUGGACUUGGUAGUCUGAUUUGUUGGACAGAUAUUAAAUGCUUAAGUGCAUGGAAUUACACUGGUAAAAUAGCAGGUGAGUUGAAGAAGGCACACACUGCAUUUGGCGCACACUACCAAUAAGUAGUAAGGCUCAACAUGGCUCAUAUGGCUCAAUAGGUCUGGGGGAUAAUAAAUGUGACAGCUGCAUCUAUGUGUGUCUAUUCUGUGUGCACAAGGUCUUUUUGUAUAAUUCUAUAUCUUUCUUAUGAGGCUCUUAUAGUAUUUUAUCAUAGAUGAGGGCUCUUGCUCCUAACGACACCAUUCACAUAUAACCACACAUAUCAGUUGAUUGGUUAUAGCCUGAUAGUUGUCAUUUUUGCAGUCUAUAUUAUAAGACAUGGGACCUUGUUUCUGGAACUUUUCUGAUGGCAGCCAACCUCUCUUCUUCCAAGUGUUUCAAAGAUCUGGCUUAAACCCUAAUUAUUUGAAAGUUAAUUGAUCUACUUGUAAGCCUGACUAUUAAGUGAAUUGGAAUCUUCUCGAAGAAGUAGACUCUUAUGUUCUGUGUCUGAUUCCUUUAUAGUCACUGAAUCUAGGAGUUCAGUGCUUGACAUUUAUAGAUCCUCAAUAAAUAUUUGCUAAGUCAGCAGUGUAGAAAAUAAAAUUUGUUCUUAAAUUCUAUAACAAGAAGGCAAUAUAAACUAGAAAACAUGGGUAGCAUUUCACUUGAAAUGCUCAGGAAAUAUUUGAAAGAUAAAUUAUUCAUUAAAGCAUUCUAGAAGAGAACAUAUACUUGGUUCACAAUACAUACCAAUUUGCAGACUUACAAUGGACUUGUUUUCUUUCCUGUGUUGACAGAUCUUAGGACUGUCAAUUAAAGGAAUACCUGGAUUUCAAUUGAACAGAAUCUAUGUGGAUAAUUAAGAUGUGUAACUGUGUUCCUGUUUUUACUUUUACUAAUCACCAUAGGAAGUACACAUUAAUAAGGAUGCAAAGUCAAGUGUUAUUGGAAGAAUCAAUGACACCUAAGAUCUUCACUUGAUCUUCCAGCUGCAGAAGGACCUGUUUUAGGCAUGACGAACUGUCACAGGCUGAGCAAUUUUUAGACCCUGGUUCCCUAACUUCUAAAUAAUGCCAGUUUUUCUCAUAGCUGCUUGGAUCUUCUGAUAACAGUAACUUUUAAAGCACUAGAAGGAGUAAAUACACAAGGAGGAAAAAAUAGGCGUACCUUUUUAAAGACAAAUUUGGUUUCAGAGGAAUAGUCCAGAGCUAACUCUCCAAGUCUACAUCCACCCUUUCGAGAACGUUCCUCAUCACUUGAUGCUCACAACAGUAUAAUCAGACCAUGUCUUUGGAAAUUGUGUGUCACUUAUUAGAUGAGAAUCUAGGAACUGCUUGUGCCCUAUCUGACACUAGAUUUUGACUGCAAGUUUUUCAUGUUUUUGUUAUUCCUCCAAGGAGCAGAGAUAGUUCGUGUGUUUCAUGUAUAGUGUACAUGUACACAAGUAAAUUUUAGUUAUUCAAAUUUGGUCACUAGAAGGAAUUAUCUCCCUCUUAUAAGCCAUAAUUUUUCUUGUGUGACAGACACUUGUGUAUAAACUGACUCAGAGCACGUUGCAUUGUGAGUGCUGAACACAGUGACUAGUGCGACAGGCUCAGUGUUCCAUUGGCGAAGGGAGGGAGCCUCCAGCUGCUGUCUGUGGCUUUCCAGGCACAUCUGAUGCUGCGUUGUCGUCAAUAAUGCAGGAUGAUGGCAAGUUGAACAAAUGAUCCACAUGAUUUAUGUUUUUCUGAUGUGCACCAUAAAUGUUGACUCUUUUUUUUUUUUAAUUUCGGAAAAGCCACGACAUUUUUUGAGGCCUCUUUCCAACAUAAUUAGUGAGAAGCAAAGACUGAAUGACAUUUAGACAACAAUCCCCCGAGUUGGAAGAAAUCAUGGGUUUUCUCCAGAACUUGCCCUUCUAGUUGCAAAGAGCAGUACUGGGAGCUUGCUGCAAAGGUCAUAAUGUUUCAGAACAUAAGGCAAGGUGGCCUACUGGCUGGAGAUGCUGUGCGUGUUUCAAACUGAAGCACGUUAAGGGCAUAGCAUCAAGCCAGUAUUAUUGCUACACUUAUUCAACUCCUGCACAAUUGACUCUUACUUCCAGAAGCUUGUUAGAAAGACGCAUGGAGACCAUAAUUGAUAGAGUACAAUUUCUAACUUACUCCUAACCCUGACUGUAAGAUGCUGGGUGACCAGAGAAAAGUACUAACGUUUCGGGUAGAGAUUUCCUCGCCACAAAAUUUUUAUUUAUGAAAAGAGAGGAAAGCAGUAGCUUUACCACUCUCGCUUGUUAGGGACGUUACAGAGAUUGUUACCAAUCAUAAAGGAUCUCAAAUAAAAACUUUAAAACAAAAUUGAAUAUAUUGAAGAGACAACAGCAUGUGAUCCCACUCACUUGCUUCUUGUGUAUUUGCUUUCGAGGAACAGAAAGAAACUGUAGCAUUUAACACAGUAACAAGAACGUGUGGCCUAUUUGAUGAAGGUUAGAACUGCUGUGAUGGAGCCUAGACAUGUUGUGUGACAGUAAUGGGGAGUCCCAUGUUCUCUUCUUGGAAUAUUUUGAGGGAUAUUAUAAUAACUUGAAUGCUUGAAAGGAUGAGUCAAUACCUUAUAUGUGCCAUUAAGAAAAAAAUGUUGAGAUCUUUUGAUCUCAAAAGCUAAAGUCACUAUCAGCAAUGACUUGUAGGGACCUGGACCAAUAUAUCUGUAGAACUUUUUUCUACAGAGUGUUUGAAGACACUGCAAAUGCCCCAGAAGAAAGAUUUGCCACCACCCAAGAGGACCAAAUUAAGAGCCUCCUAUUUCUUUAUUUGAAUAAACUGGAAAAGAAAGAGGUUGGUUGAGAAAGAGUAGUUAGACAGAGAACUCUUCAAAAUGCAUGUGGUGUUUUGUUUUGUUUUGCUUUGGGUUUUUUGGCUUUAUAUAUCUCAUAAAUGGUAUCUCUAUGUAUUAUUCUGCAUAUAGCAUGAUUAAUAAGCAGAUUUUUUAUAAAAAGCUAUUCUCAGAGUUAUACUGAACCAUGGCUAUGGGUCUCAUAUUUUCCAUAACUGUAUUGUGUGGACAAAAUAUUAUCUAGAGUCCCCUUAGGGUUAUAAAUCAGAGGUAUUUUUCUCAAUUAGUAACGGUGGGUAUCUGACACAGCCAUCUGGUAUCACCUAAAUGAACUAUAGUCACCACAUAAACUAGUCAUUAAUUAUUAUUUCUAGGUUUGUUUGGAGUUUCUACCCAGCCUGGUGAGAGCACUGUGCAUUGCAAUCCGAUGACUAUAAACACUGAAUUUUCUCUAAAUAAAUCUAGUCCAUGACUUUGUGUAAAACUUGAAAAAUUGUUCCCUCUUUUUAAAGAAACUGAGAUGUAUUUCCUACUUUCUUAUACCCUCAUGCUAUGUUUAAUCAUACAGUAUUCCUCAAUAAAUUCAUUGAUCUAUUUCAAAA